UUUCCGUAGGAAUGAGGCACGAUCAUUACCGAGUGCGGGUCUUUAUGGCCCAACCUCCCACCCGUGACUAUUGUACCUUGUUGCUUCGGCGGGCCCGCCAGCGUUGCUGGCCGCCGGGGGGCGACUCGCCCCCGGGCCCGUGCCCGCCGGAGACCCCAACAUGAACCCUGUUCUGAAAGCUUGCAGUCUGAGUGUGAUUCUUUGCAAUCAGUUAAAACUUUCAACAAUGGAUCUCUUGGUUCCGGCAUCGAUGAAGAACGCAGCGAAAUGCGAUAACUAAUGGUAUUCCGAGAAUUCAGUGAAUCAUCGAGUCUUUGAACGCACAUUGCGCCCCCUGGUAUUCCGGGGGGCAUGCCUGUCCGAGCGUCAUUGCUGCCCUCAAGCCCGGCUUGUGUGUUGGGCCCUCGUCCGGGGGCAUGCGGGGGACGGGCCCGAAAGGCAGCGGCGGCACCGCGUCCGGUCCUCGAGCGUAUGGGGCUUCGUCUUCCGCUCCGUAGGCCCGGCCGGCGCCCGCCGACGCAUUUAUUUGCUAUGGGGCUUUUCCAGGUUGACCCUCGGAUCACGUAGGGAUACCCGCUGAACUUAAGCAUAUCACUAAAAACAGAGAGAA
rnacentral:rRNA from 1 species